GACGAACGCUGGCGGCGUGCUUAACACAUGCAAGUCGAACGGAAAGGCCCUGCUUUUGUGGGGUGCUCGAGUGGCGAACGGGUGAGUAACACGUGAGUAACCUGCCCUUGACUUAGGGAUAACUUCAGGAAACUGGGGCUAAUACCGGAUAGGAGCUCCUGCUGCAUGGUGGGGGUUGGAAAGUUUCGGCGGUUGGGGAUGGCCUCGCGGCUUAUCAGCUUGUUGGUGGGGUAGUGGCUUACCAAGGCUUUGACGGGUAGCCGGCCUGCGAGGGUGACCGGCCACAUUGGGACUGGGAUGAGGCCCAGACUACUACGGGAGGCAGCGGUGGGGAAGGUUGCACAAUGGGAGGAAGCCUGAUGCAGCAACGCCGCGUGCGGGAUGACGGCAUUCGGGUUGUAAACCGCAUUCGCCUGGGACGAAGCGUGAGUGACGGUAAUGGAUAAAGAAGCACCGGCUAACUACGUG
rnacentral:rRNA from 1 species